rnacentral:rRNA from 1 species
UACAGAGGGUGCAAGCGUUGUUCGGAAUUAUUGGGCGUAAAGCGCGUGUAGGCGGGAUGACAAGUCGGGUGUGAAAGCCCUCAGCUCAACUGAGGAAGUGCGCCCGAAACUAUCGUUCUUGAGUACCGGAGAGGGUGGCGGAAUUCCCGGUGUAGAGGUGAAAUUCGUAGAUAUCGGGAGGAACACCAGUGGCGAAGGCGGCCACCUGGACGUGUACUGACGCUGAGACGCGAAAGCGUGGGGAGCAAAC